AAACUGGUGGUCAAGGGGUUUGGAUUUGGCGCUCUUACUGCCAUGGCCCGGGUUUGAUUCCCGGUCACUGAG